rnacentral:lncRNA from 13 species
CUUCCGGCACAGCCUGCAGCCCUGGAAGACAUCAAUAUGUUGUCUCACGUCCGAUGAAGAAAGAAAACAGCAUCCUAAACACAUCCCACUCCCUGAGGGUGCAGAACUCUUGGAUGACAAAGAGGCAGGUUUGCACAGAUGAGAGAAGGGUAGAAAGUAGAUGAAGUUAAGUUCUUGGCUUUCCUGAGACUUACACAAUGGUCUGUAAGACCACAGCAUAAUUGCUUUAAGGUUUUCUAACAUCAUGUGCACCUCCGUUGUGGGAACCAAAAGUCUUUGGAAGAUGCAGCUAUGACCUCCUGCUAAUAGCAUGAUAUAAAAUGUAAGUUUAAACCCCAGGCUUCCCCGUCCCAGGCCUCAGCUCUCAAAUGUCUUAGCAGGGCCCCAGAAGCAUGAGAUCUGAGCCCUAGAGGCAGUGGUGAUUUAAGAGGCGCAGGUUUCUGCUUAAACUCAUUGAGUUUCAACAUCCCUUAGAGUUCACAAUAUGGGAAACUGAUAAUGGGGGAACAGGAAAUCAACAAAUUAUUAUUUAGUCAAAAAAAUGUAGUGUGUUUAUUACAGGAAAGUGGAAAAUGCUAGAAGACAUGAAAAAAUUCUCCUAUUAGAAUGUUGGCCUCAUCAUUUGAAGAUAAUAGCUAGGUUUUAGACUGCUGUGAGUUUUUAGUGGGAACUCACAAGUUUGGUCACGGACUCCAGGGCAAACACUUCUUUUCCAAAAAGUGGCCUGGCAUCCCAAGUAGAUAAACAACAUAAAGAGCUUAGCUUCCUUAAGCUGCUCAGAGCAAACUGGGGAUACUCAAUUGCUCCAGAAGAAUGACUGUCAACUUCACAGGGAUUUAAACGAAUAAUUCCCAAGAGUCUGAGCACUUUGAAUCUGAUGCAUGGCUCACCAGAGGGUUUCCAUGUGUAG